UACGUAGGGUGCAAGCGUUAAUCGGAAUUACUGGGCGUAAAGCGUGCGCAGGCGGUUGUACAAGACAGAGGUGAAAUCCCCGGGCUUAACCUGGGAACUGCCUUUGUGACUGUACGGCUAGAGUGUGUCAGAGGGGGUAGAAUUCCACGUGUAGCAGUGAAAUGCGUAGAGAUCCGGAAGAACACCGGUGGCGAAGGCGGCCUG
rnacentral:rRNA from 1 species